GUCGAACGCUGGCGGCGUGCUUAACACAUGCAAGUCGAACGGAGUGGCGAACGGGUGAGUAAAAUGUGGGUGAUCUGCCUUGCACUUCGGGAUAAGCUUGGGAAACUGGUUCAAAUACCCGAUAGUGCAAGCUGAGCUCGCGGCUUAUAAGCUUGUUGGUGGGGUAAUGGCCUACCAAUGCGUCGACGGGUAGCCGGCCUGAGAGGGUGUACGGCCACAUUGGGGCUAGGGUACGGCCCAGACGGGUACGGGAGGCAGCAGGGGGGAGUAGGGCACAGUGCGCGGAAGUCUGAGGCAUCGACGCCGCGUGUGUGAUGAAGGCCUUCGGGUUGUAAACUCCUUUCGACAGGGACGCGGUACCUGUAUAAGAAGCACCGGCUAACUACGUGCUAGCAGCCGCGGUAAUUC
rnacentral:rRNA from 1 species